rnacentral:lncRNA from 1 species
CAGCUUUUUCUGUCCAAAUGCCUCUUAAAAUUCAUGGAAGACUUACUGUCUGAGAUCCAUUUAUUUUCUUUCUUCUCUUGAGAUGUACAGGAUUAGUAGUGCUAUCUUAAGGAAUUCACCACAGAGCUAUAUGGUUAAGGUGUUCUAAGACCAUUUUCAGAGGAAAGUGUGCUCAUUGGAGAAGUGUGAAAUUCUGAAGCAUAAACAAGAGCAGAAAGAAGAGCAGCUUGAGAAACGGAGAAACAACAACGCUCCUCUCUCCCAGGGCCUUUCUCAUCCCUGCCUACAGCUGUUGCCUCCAACCGCUCCCAGAGAUCACUCGAACCUGGUCC